rnacentral:rRNA from 1 species
AUGGGAACCCAACUUCAGCGAAGAACUGCGCGUGCGAGGAAACAAGUGCAGGAAGGAAGUUACUGUGAAAAACGGAUACUGGACCGUGGAGGAAUUGAUUACCUCACAUGCUUGCGCUGCCUGUCCGAAGUAGACGUUUUUGCCCCCGGAGAGCAGGAAGAGCAUGUCGAAGAGCUCGAAGACCUCGCUGCUGGGCUGGUGGAUGGACGCAAUCACUGUCCUGCCGUCCCUCGCCAGGCCCCUCAGCGUCUGCGUCACGAAGAAGGCCGAGGAGCUGCCCGCGCAACCAGAGCCGUCAAUUCAAUUCCUUCUCCAACAACACAACCACACAGGCACUGCUACUGA